rnacentral:tRNA from 1 species
GGCCCGUUGGUCAAGGGGUCUAAGACACCGCCCUUUCACGGCGGUAACAUGGGUUCGAAUCCCAUACGGGUCA